UACGAAGGGUGCUAGCGUUGCUCGGAAUCACUGGGCGUAAAGCGCACGUAGGCGGACUCUUAAGUCGGUGGUGAAAUCCUGGAGCUCAACUCCAGAACUGCCUUCGAUACUGGGAGUCUUCGAGUCCGGGAGAGGUGAGUGGAACUGCGAGUGUAGAGGUGAAAUUCGUAGAUAUUCGCAAGAACACCAGUGGCGAAGGCGGCUCACUGGCCCGGUACUGACGCUGAGGUGCGAAAGCGUGGGGAGCAAACAGG
rnacentral:rRNA from 1 species